rnacentral:rRNA from 1 species
AUUGAACGCUGGCGGCAGGCUUAACACAUGCAAGUCGAGCGGAGAGAGGUAGCUUGCUACCGAUCUUAGCGGCGGACGGGUGAGUAAUGUUUAGGAAUCUGCCUAUUAGUGGGGGACAACAUUUCGAAAGGAAUGCUAAUACCGCAUACGUCCUACGGGAGAAAGCAGGGGAUCUUCGGACCUUGCGCUAAUAGAUGAGCCUAAGUCGGAUUAGCUAGUUGGUGGGGUGAAGGCCUACCAAGGCGACGAUCUGUAGCGGGUCUGAGAGGAUGAUCCGCCACACUGGGACUGAGACACGGCCCAGACUCCUACGGGAGGCAGCAGUGGGGAAUAUUGGACAAUGGGCGCAAGCCUGAUCCAGCCAUGCCGCGUGUGUGAAGAAGGCCUUAUGGUUGUAAAGCACUUUAAGCGAGGAGGAGGCUACUUUGGUUAAUACCUAGAGAUAGUGGACGUUACUCGCAGAAUAAGCACCGGCUAACUCUGUGCCAGCAGCCGCAGUAACAC